rnacentral:lncRNA from 1 species
UCCGGCCUCAUUCCCAAAGAAGCAAGGGCCAAAAACGAAGAAGGAGGAGAAGGAGGUGCUCACCUUGCCUCCGGCGAGGUCCUCCCGACCGGAUCGACGGCAACCGCGUCGAUUCCUCCCGCGGCAAGGUAAAACCCAAUCCUUUUUUUUUGUUGUGUGUGUGGACGGCUCUCGACGGAAGCCCUAGAAAGAGGAGGAGGUCUCGGCCCGAGAUUGCUAGGGUUUUUAUCACCCUAGGAUCCUCCUCUCCGGUGGAUUCGGAAGGAGAGGGAGGAUUUUCCGAAACAGGGGAGGGAGAAACCCCCUCCCCCUUUUCAUGUGUUGGGCCGUCCUUUCUCAAAGGCCGGCCCAACCCUACGUGGGCUUUCACAGGUAUCUUGGCACACCUACAUCUACAUCCUCAUAUUUUCAUUUUGGGUAUCCAAGCUUGCUUGGGUCCUUGAGAGUUAGGACAUAUAGUUCCUUUUGGAACCCAAAUUUAUUUAAUUGUAAUAACUUUACCACUUGAUUUAAUUAUGUUAGAACGAUAGGUAAAGGUGUUAUGCCCAUUCUUUUCAUGUUUGAAAUAAAUUAUCUUAUUUAAUGGUUUGCUUGGUGAAUUGAUAACUUUUUUCUCUAGAGAUUUAUUGUUAAGUAAAGGAGUCAAGCCAAGUUUUGAUUUAUCAUAAGCAACAUAUUAGCUUUCAAACAUCAUUUUUAAUCUUUCUGAACUUACAGUAAAUUUGUUAAUAAAAGAUUUUAAUUGGUUAAUUUCUUUACUUAAGUUUUGAUUUUCUUUAAUUAAACUCUGAUUUUUUUGAAUCAAUUGUUCUAAAUUUAAUCUUAAGCUUUCAUUUUCAGAAUUUUGUUUAUCUUGUAUUUCAUCACUAGAAUUUCUUUCUUUUGAAAUUUUCAGAUUUAGUUUCUUAAGAUCUUUAUUCUUCAUAGCUAAUUUUCUACAUUCACCAUACAAAUCAUGAAAAGCAUUUAAUAAUUCAUCAUAAGGAAAUUCUUCUUGAAAAUCAUUUGAUGUAAAAGUAGAUUCAGAUUUUACCUUAUCUUCUUGUGCCAUAAAGCACAAGUUAGUUACCUCUUGUAGUUCUUUGGAGCUAAUAUCAUCAUUGUUGCUCCUAGCUUUCAUUUCCUUGCUUGACUCUUCCUUGGUCAAGGCUUUCUUCCUUUUUAUCUCUUUCUUUCUUUCUUUUUGCUUCCUCUUCUUCUUUGUCUUUAGGAAGCUUUUGAAUUUUUUUGUUGUUCUUUCUUCCUCGAGUCGACUCGGGUUUACUUGGAGUCGACUCGACUGACUUGAGAGUCGACUCGAGAUCUUCGGGAGACGUCUCGUUCUCAGAGGCCUAAAAGAUGAUUCUUUGUCUCUUGAACUUUUCUGCCUCGGAGUCGACUCGGGCCUUGUUGGAGUCGACUCGGCUAACUUGGGGGUCGACUCUGAAAUACUUGGAGUCGACUCGUUCACAGGAUCUCCAAGACUGAGUCUCUGUCUUUCAGACUGUUUUUCUCUAGGAGUCGACUCGGACAAACUGGGAGUCGACUCGGCUAAUGUGGAAGAUUCUGCAGUCUCAUUGUUAAUAUGCAAUUGAAGCACAGGUGAGCUAAUCUGAGAUUUAUCAUAAAUAUUUCUUAAAGUAUCCCAAAUUUCUUUAGCAGAUAAGCAUGCAGAAAUCUUAUGAAAUAUAGUUUUAUGGAUAGCACAAUAUAGAAUGUUCAUAGCAUUAGCAUUCAAUUGUGCUAAGUCUUUUUCAUUGACAGCUUGAGAGUGUGCGUGAAGAUCAUUUAUUGUGAUAUUCCAUAAAUCAUAGUUUUGUGAUUGAAUAAAAAUGCGCAUGCGUGCUUUCCAAUGUGUGUAGUUUAUGCCAUUAAAUAGUGGAGGUCUAUCAAUUAAUUGUCCCUCUCCUAGAAAACUAUCUAUUUGAGUUGUCAUAAUCUUUGGCUCUUGAUCGUAAGAUCAACAAUUAAUUUUAGAGCACCUGCUCUGAUACCACUUGUUGCCCAAGGUGACAACCCAAGAGGGGGGGGGGGGUGAAUUGGGUUUUCUAAAAAUUAUGUUCCUUAAUUUUUACUUUGAAUUGAAUGCAGCAGAAUGAUAAGAUAUUAUUUUCUUAAGCUCUAGGCAAUUAUAAGUAAAGCAGUGAAAAAUUAAGCUAGAGCAAUUAUACUAUGGCUUUAGGGUGCAAUUGAUCUAAAAUUAACUUAUAGAUUCAGAGACUUGAUCGUACGGGAUUGGGGAGUGCGCUAUUAUUCCUUCAGUUUUUAGCAUUUUAGAUUAGUCUGAACAUUUGAAUUAUGUUGGCAAAUGUUAUUUUGAAAUUUUGUAAGACUGCUUUUGAAUAAAUUUAAAUAAUUAUGUC